rnacentral:rRNA from 1 species
GACGAACGCUGGCGGCGUGCCUAAUACAUGCAAGUCGAGCGGACUUUCAAGAAGCUUGCUUUUUGAAAGUUAGCGGCGGACGGGUGAGUAACACGUGGGCAACCUGCCUGCAAGACGGGGAUAACUCCGGGAAACCGGGGCUAAUACCGGAUAAUAUCUUCCUUCGCAUGAAGGAAGGUUGAAAGGCGGCGCAAGCUGCCGCUUGCAGAUGGGCCCGCGGCGCAUUAGCUAGUUGGUGAGGUAACGGCUCACCAAGGCGACGAUGCGUAGCCGACCUGAGAGGGUGCUCGGCCACGCUGGGACUGAGACACGGCCCAGACUCCUACGGGAGGCAGCAGUAGGGAAUCUUCCGCAAUGGACGAAAGUCUGACGGAGCAACGCCGCGUGAGCGAAGAAGGUCUUCGGAUCGUAAAGCUCUGUUGUCAGGGAAGAACAAGUACCGUUCGAACAGGGCGGUACCUUGACGGUACCUGACCAGAAAGCCACGGCUAACUACGUG